rnacentral:rRNA from 1 species
GUGGAUGAUGUGGUUUAAUUCGAUGCAACGCGAAAAACCUUACCCACCUUUGACAUGUACGAAGUUACCAGAGAUGGCUUCGUGCUCGAAAGAGAACCGUAACACAGGUGCUGCAUGGCUGUCGUCAGCUCGUGUCGUGAGAUGUUGGGUUAAGUCCCGCAACGAGCGCAACCCUUGUCAUUAGUUGCUACGAAAGGGCACUCUAAUGAGACUGCCGGUGAUAAACCGGAGGAAGGUGGGGAUGACGUCAAGUCCUCAUGGCCCUUAUAGGUGGGGCUACACACGUCAUACAAUGGCUGGUACAGAGGGUUGCCAACCCGCGAGGGGGAGCUAAUCCCAUAAAACCAGUCGUAGUCCGGAUCGCAGUCUGCAACUCGACUGCGUGAAGUCGGAAUCGCUAGUAAUCGCGGAUCAGAAUGUCGCGGUGAAUACGUUCCCGGGUCUUGUACACACCGCCCGU